GUGGGGAAUAUUGGGCAAUGGGCGCAAGCCUGACCCAGCAACGCCGCGUGAAGGAAGAAUGCUUUCGGGUUGUAAACUUCUUUUACCAGGGACGAAACAAAUGACGGUACCUGGUGAAUAAGCCACGGCUAACUACGUGCCAGCAGCCGCGGUAAUACGUAGGUGGCGAGCGUUAUCCGGAUUUAUUGGGUGUAAAGGGCGUGUAGGCGGGACAGCAAGUCAGAUGUGAAAACCAGAGGCUCAACCUCUGGCCUGCAUUUGAAACUGUUGUUCUUGAGUGUCGGAGAGGUAAUCGGAAUUCCGUGUGUAGCGGUGAAAUGCGUAGAUAUACGGAGGAACACCAGUGGCGAAGGCGGAUUACUGGACGAUAACUGACGCUGAGGCGCGAAAGCGUGGGGAGCAAACAGGAUUAGAAACCCUUGUAGUCC
rnacentral:rRNA from 1 species